rnacentral:rRNA from 1 species
AUGAACGCUGGCGGCGUGCCUCAUACAUGCAAGUCGAGCGAACAGACGAGGAGCUUGCUCCUCUGACGUUAGCGGCGGACGGGUGAGUAACACGUGGAUAACCUACCUAUAAGACUGUGAUAACUUCGGGAAACCGGAGCUAAUACCGGAUAAUAUAUUGAACCGCAUGGUUCAAUAGUGAAAGACGGUUUUGCUGUCACUUAUAGAUGGAUCCGCGCCGCAUUAGCUAGUUGGUAAGGUAACGGCUUACCAAGGCAACGAUGCGUAGCCGACCUGAGAGGGUGAUCGGCCACACUGGAACUGAGACACGGUCCAGACUCCUACGGGAGGCAGCAGUAGGGAAUCUUCCGCAAUGGGCGAAAGCCUGACGGAGCAACGCCGCGUGAGUGAUGAAGGUCUUCGGAUCGUAAAACUCUGUUAUUAGGGAAGAACAAAUGUGUAAGUAACUAUGCACGUCUUGACGGUACCUAAUCAGAAAGCCACGGCUAACUACGUG